rnacentral:lncRNA from 1 species
GUCCCCCAGAUUUUUUUUUAUUGAUUCUUUUCAAAACGAAACAAUUUGAGUAUGAGUAAAAGGUCUUCCUUUUUAUUUUAAUGAAUCCGUUUUUAUGUUAUUUCGUAUUGUUCAAUUCCUUUGUUUGUGGGAUCAUUUUCUCACGAAAUGAAAUUCAAAUAAAUUAUAGAAUGGAUUAAUAAACCUAUGUCUAGAUCUAGGAUAAAUGGAAAUUUUAUUGAUAAAACCUUUUCAAUUGUAGCCAAUAUCUUAUUACGAAUAAUUCCGACAACUUCGAGAGAAAAAUAGGCAUUCACCUAUUACAGAGAUGGUAAGAUUUGAUUAUUCGAUUUUUUUAUUUUAUUUUCUAUUUUUUUAUUGCUCUCAGUCUUAAGAGAAAGACAACAUUAUUCGGGAUAGGAAAAAAAAUUUUAUUGAAAUAAAUCUACACUUGUUUGAAGGUGAAGUUUGUAAAUAAAGCAAAUCCUUUUGUCAUGUAUCCCCGAUUAAUGCAACCUCAGAAUGCUUCAAUUGUCGAUUCUAGAGUAUUGAGCGGGAGGUUACACCUAUGGGUUAGGUCUUCACCAAUAGAGAGCGUAGGGGAAGAAGCACUACUCCUAGGAAUCAACACAUGAAAACUUUGUUAUAAAUUAUCCCUUUUCCUUAUCAGGAUCGGGACUAACAAGAAUGGUUGGGACAACAAACAUCCAUCUUGUUUGUUUUUUGGAUACUUGUAUAACCAUUGAAGAUUGUUGAAGUGACUAAUAAAACAACCUUCCCAAAUAAAACCUCUUUCGACGUAACCUCCAAACAUCAUCAAAUUGUAGACGAUGAAGCUGCAUUUACAUGUUUCUUCCUUAAUGUGCUAUCUUACGCUCACAAGAUAACUGCAAUUUUAAACUCUCUGAAAAAGAGAUUGCACAUAACUUAUUUCCAACAAUGGCCAAUUUGCAGGGUAACUUAUUUCCUGAACGGCCCUCCUCUUGUGAUUUUCGGCUUCUGCUCGUGUUGGGAUUCGUUCAACAACUUCCGAAGAAGUAAGUGAAAACCCAACUCACACUAGUUUUUUUUUUUUUUUGUUUUACUUCUGGAAAAAAUACAAACCCAACUUACAGCUGCAGCAUUUGUAGGAGCUGAGGCUGGCCAUUGUUGGAAAUUUUCCCAUUAAUGCUGUUGUCCUUCACGUCGAUCACGUGAGGAAAGUAAGACAACUUGUACUGCAGAAACAUUGCGUUGGUCGAGAUGUAGAUAGGCAGUUCGAGAACAUCACCGUCUACUUGAGGAGCAGUUUCUUCGGAUAACAACAUGGGAAUUGUACAGAGUUCCUUUGGAAAUUCACCUGACAUUCGAUUGCCUAGGAAUCGAUUGGGUGAUUCUGUUAAGACUCAAAAUCACGAACCCUAGCUUCCUGAGCUUCGAUAACCAUUGAGUUAUUUCACCGUUGAGCUCACAGCUACUCAAAUCCUGUUAGUGUAUAAGCAUUGAGCUAAUCUGUUUAUUUUGAAAUGAAUAAGCCUUGUAUUUAGUUGUGUAUUCACUUUGGUAAUUCUCACCAAGUGUAGGGCUCAUAGUGUAAUUGUGUCUAAGUGACAUGUGUAAGGAUCCUAGAAUCUAGUUAGAUGAGUGGCUGAGAUCAUCUUUCUGUUUUUCAGUAGUGAGAACAUAUAUUGUAUUUUCAUCUGUUAUGCACAGUGUGAAAGAGUAAGAACAUUCUCUCUGAGAUUUUAACAGAGAGCAAAAGCAUCAAAGUUCUUUUCAUUUUCUUAUCUGUGAUUUCAUUCCUACUUCCUUCUUCAAUCUGAAAAUAGUCAUUGAACUUUAACAAAUCCAGCAUUUGAAGAUUUUGGAACCCAUUGGAAUUAGCCAUUGCUUCAUCACUUGGAAUUUUCUCUCCUAGAUAAAAACUUGUCGAAAGGAGGAGUACCUGGAGACUUUUGCAGCACCAUUAGUAUCUUCAUUGCCCCUGUGAUGUUGUCAAUCGGCUGUAGCUGAGAGAGAGGAAGGACAAGGAUUCGAGUGAAAGAAUCUCGGGCUGUAUCUGUCCCUCUAGAUUGUUUUUGCUCACUCGAAUUGCUUUUAGGGACUUGCAUGAGCAGAGACUAGUUGGCAAGAAACCGGUGAAGUAGAGUUAUGACCAAGUUCAAGUAUUGGUUUGUUUAGUAGGAUUGGAGAAGUUAAGUGUGGAGAUGUUUUCUUUGAAAAGGUGGAGAGCAUUUUACACUGUUGAAUUGAAGGAACAGGAGUCGUAAUUUGGACAGCUUACCAAUGUUACUUUACGGGAUCCGUUGGACAGGAGGUCAUGGAUUGCGAGGUCGAAAAUUAUUUCGCACCCGUGUAGUGAAUUGCGAGGCAAUGCAAUUAAAUUGCGAGGGAAUGCAAUUACUUCAAGUGUGGUAGCAUUGUAGAUGUCAUCUGGGAGUAAGAGGUUGUUGUAACCAGCGCGAAACACACCCAAUUUGGAACACGCACCUAGUCCAUGAGAAAUAUUGCCACUACAUUUAUUUAGGGAGAAAUCAAAUAGUCUAGUCGAGGGAGACAAAGAAGACAAAUAGGGGACGGGAUAGACCCCGAGAAGGUGUUCUUGACGUUGAAACUAGUUUGCUCUAAAAUAAUGUUAUGAGUACAAUUUCUAAGAAGAAAUCCCGCAAUUUUUGUGCAGGAAUCAGAAAGGUACAAAAGUUUGAUUCGGCAAGACAUGGACCUGCAUGUGAUUCAAUCCAAGCUUAACAAAGGCCUCUACACAGAGGAUUGCAUCCCCAUGUUCUUCCGCGACCUCCUCCUCCUAUUCAACAAUGCCAUCGUCUUCUUCCGCAAUAACCCUCCGGAGCACAACGCAGCUCAAGAGCUCCGCUCCAUUGUGCUAAAGGAAAUGAACGACCAGCUCCCGAACCCACAACCCGCGACCAGAACAGUAACAUCUAAAGUGCCCAAGAUCGAAACCAAAGCUCCCAAGAUCGAGCCCGAUGUCUCCGAGAAACCCACCAAGUCUUCCAUUGUUGUUUGUGGAAAGCGUGGUUCUGUCAAUGCACUAUCAGAAGGCGGUGAGAAAGCAAAGGUGGCGAAUGAGAAGAAGACGGAUGGUGCUGCAUCUGUGAAGGUUGAGGACAAGGGGAUUAGGAGGAAGAGGACACAAGAAAGAGGUGGGCGGAGAGGGACAAGCACGAGGGGCAGGAGUGCAGCGAAGCCGACGAAGCCGCACGAGUAUGGCGUCAAUGAACUCAGUUCGCAUGACGGUUUAGACGCGUUGGAAGCGGAGAAGGAGAAGAAAGAAAACAAGGGAAAGAAGCAAGGCGCAGCGAGGUUCUUGAAGCGAAUGAAGCAGAACUCGCCGAGCACUGAAGUGAAGAAGGACGCAUCGGAUGGUUCUGAGGACGAUAGCGAUGAGAGCGAGGACGAGAAGAAGAAGAAGAAGAAGAAGAAGCCGACGACAAGGGGUAGGAAGAAGCCGGAGGUUGAGAGGAAUGAGAGGGUGACGCGGAGUUCAACAGGAAGCGGGGGAGGGAGGGGAGGGGGAAUAAGGUGUCAGGAGAGCAAUGGGAGGGGAAGGAGAGGGGUCGGGAGGCCACCGAAGAGGCAGGAGACUGCGGCGGCAGAAGCGGGGAGUAGGAAGAGAGGGAGAGAGAAUGGGGAGGCUGAUCAGGUGGGGAGUGCAGGGAGGCGGAGAAAGCGUACAAGGAGGUAAAUGCGGCCAUUGUUGUAAGCUGUAAAUUAUUUUUGGCAUGGUUUGGGUUAAUUUCUGGUAAACCAAACCCAAACCGAAGUAGGCCUUAAAAGAUUCCAAUUAUUUCAUCACUGCCCAUGAAAAAGAAAAGUCAAUGGCAUUAAUAAAUAAUAAAACAAUGAUAUCCGGAGGAAAGUAAGACAACGGCCAUUGUUGGAAAUUUUCCCAUUAUUGCUGUUGUCCUUCACGUCGAUCACGUGAGGAAAGUAAGACAACUUGUACUGCAGAAACAUUGCGUUGGUCGAGAUGUAGAUAGGCAGUUCGAGAACAUCACCGUCUACUUGAGGAGCAGUUUCUUCGGAUAACAACAUGGGAAUUGUACAGAGUUCCUUUGGAAAUUCACCUGACAUUCGAUUGCCUCCUAAUGCUAAAACAAGGAGCCUCGGAAGAGCCCCCAACCAACUAGGAAUCGAUUGGGUGAUUCUGUUAAAACUCAAAAUCAAGAACCCUAGCUUCCUGAGCUUUGAUAAUCAUUGAGGUAUUUCACCGUUGAGUUCACAGCUACUCAUAUCCAGCAUUUGAAGAUUUUGGAAGCCAUUGGAAUUAGCCAUUGCUUCAUCACUUGGAAUUUUCUCUCCUAGAUAAAAACUUGUCGAAAGGAGGAGUACCUGGAGAUUUUGGCAGCACCAUUAGUAUCUUCAUUGCCCCUGUGAUGUUUGUCAAUCGGCUGUAGCUGAGAGAGAGGAAGGACAAGGAUUCGAGUGAAAGAAUCUCGGGCUGUAUGUGUCCCUCUAGAUUGUUUUUGCUCACUCGAAUUGCUUUUAGGGACUUGCAUGAGCAGAGACUAGUUGGCAAGAAACAGGUGAAGUAGAGUUAUGACCAAGAUCAAGUAUUGGUUUGUUUAGUAAGAUUGGAGAAGUUAAGUGUGGAGUAUGGCGUCAAUGAACUCAGUUCACAUGACGGUUUAGAGGCGUUGGAAGCGGAGAAGGAGAAGAAAGAAAACAGGAGGAAGAAGCAAGGCGCAGCGAGGUUCUUGAAGUGAAUGAAGCAGAACUCGCUGAGCACUGAGGUGAAGAAGGAGACAUCGGAUGGUUCUGAGGAUGAUUGCGGGGAGAGCGAGGACAAGAAGAAGAAGAAGAAGCUGACGACGAGGGGUAGGAAGAAGCCGGAGGUUGAGAGGAAUGAGAGGGUUGUAGCAAGUUUGUGGCGGAAGACUUUGAGUAUGUCCUCUAGGUACUCGAAGCAACACUUCUCUUGGUGAUGUUUAAUCUCAAGUGUUGUAGGGGUUUUGCAGCAGGUGGAGAUAUGGGAUUCACAGGUGAUGAGAUGGUCUUGAGGUAGGAGGAAGUGUGGGAAUUUUGUCUGGCUCGAUGGGUUGUUGCUGGAAACGGGCGCGCUGACAAGUUUCCAGGUUGCAGACAAUGAAGAGGAGGAAAACCUGUUGAAGGAGACGAGGAUGUGUCGAGAUCAUGUCUGAAGCUAAAUUGUGAUUUUUAGCUUGCAGCAGUUGCACAUGCAUUGGCAGUGACUGAAUCGGAACAUGACUAAAGAGGUUGAUUCAGAGUGUGCAUGCUGGUACGUAAGGCCAAUGGACUUUGGUGAUGGGUGCAAGGAUUUUUGCAUGGUGAAUUCGCCAAGGUGGAGAUUGUUGUGUUUGGCUCAUACAUUUGCGAGUAAAUAUGAGUCAAGUGUUAACAACAAUGAAGUGAUCUGUGUUUGCUUUCGGUGGAAAUAUCACAUGGUGUGGGUUGCAUGAAAGUUGCAGACAAAGUAAAAGCAAAAGUUUGGUGGACAUCAUCAUGAGUAAAAACAUAAUGAUGAUGCUUGCUUUUGCUUUAAUGAUGAUGUUUGUCUUUUGCUUUAAUGAUGAUGCAAGACAUAAUGAUGAUGGCUUGGCUUUAAUGAUGAUGCCUUUGCAUUAUAUUGAGAGUGUUUGCCGAGGGAGUGUGAGGGUAUCAGAGAGCAUCCAAAGGGGGAGAGCAUUCGGCUCUCCCAUGGGAAAGCAUGGGCAUGAGUGAGAGAAAAGGUAGCAUGAUGGAUCAUCAUUGUGUCUAUGAAAAAAAGGAGAAGUUGACUCACUUUUCUGUCCAUUUAAUUGCAAAGAGCCGAAGUGGAGAAAUGGAGAGAGAGAGCAUCCGAAAAACAUAGAGGGAAAAGAAAAUAGAGUGAGAGUGAGAAACUUUUGGGGUAGAGUGAGGCUCUUGGGAAAAUUCUAUGAGUGGGUGUACAAGGGAUUUGGGAUUGGGUUAUGUCGAUUUAACUCAUGUGUACUUGUACUGUUAUUCUCAUAGUGAAGAGCAAUAUCUCUCCGGGGACGUAGGCAGGAUUUUUGCCGAACCUCGUAAAUUUCUCGGUGUCUUUAUUUCUUGUAAUUUUAUUCUGUUCAACUGAGUGUGAUUUUGGGUGUGGUUGUAAUCUGAAUCUCGUUUCCGCACUAAUGAACGGGCCAAGGCGCAACAACGCGGAGCUCAACGGGAAGCGGGGGAGGGAGGGGAGGGGGAAGAAGGUAUCAGGAGAGCAAUGGGAGGGGAAGGAGAGGGGUCGGGAGGCCACCGAAGAGGCCGGAGACUGCGGCAGCAGAAGCGGGGAGUAGGAAGAGAGGGAGAGAGAAUGGGGAGGCUGAUCAGGUGGGGAGUGCAGGGAGGCGGAGAAAGCGUACAAGGAGGUGAAUGCGGCCAUUGUUGUAAGCUGUAAAUUAUUUUUGGCAUGGUUUGGGUUAAUUUCUGGUCUUGUUUCGUUGCUAUUGCUAGGUUUUUACAGUCUUUUUUUUUUAUACCUUUUUACCCAAGUGCGGUCAAAAGAAUUACUAGAGAGGGAUAGGGAGAGACAGAGAUAGAUGUGAUGUGAACUUGUAGAAUGUUUUGGGGCAUCUCUUUUUGCAUAUACAGAUGCUGAUGAGUAGCAUCAUCAGUGAGGACCUUUUUCGUUCUAGUUUCAAUAUUGUUCUUGUUUUUUUUAGUGUGGGCUUUUUUGGUGCAAUAGGAAAUAAGCUGGGUCCAAAACAUCCGAAAACAAAGGAAGAAAUUAAGAUAAUAGUAAAGAAAUAUACUGAGAAAGAUAAUACAAAUGCAAAUGACGCAUUACUGCAAAGUGAUGGAAAACAAUAAUACUCAUGCACUCUCGUGCAUAUUCGAUCUUCUUCUCUCUUAACAUUUAACAAUUUAAUCCAGUAAUCGUUUGUAAAAAAAAACAUAGAAGGAUAACACAAAUCAUAUAAUAUUAACAAUUUCCUUGCCAAAUGGUUGGAUAUUGAUAUUGAACGCAACUUAUAUCGAUAGAUGCAUUGAUAUUCCUGCAAAUUUACAUAUCGACAUUUGUCCCGAUACCGAUAUUUGAAACAUUGCUUCUACUAUUUUUACUUUCAUAUAAAUUUGUCUGAUAUAUUAUGUUAUCAAGAAUAAGAGUUGUUCAUACAUGUCUUUGGAUGAUGGUUGAUAGUUUGGCAAGAAAACCGUUACAUGAAAAAAUGUUAAAAAUUCAGGUUUGUUGUCACUUAGUAUUACAGUCAAGUGGUAUUUCUCUUCACUUGUAAGUGAGAGGUCUGCUAUCCCAUUGUAAGGUUGAAUCCACAUCCACUUAGGGUAGAUAAUAUCGUUUGUUCACAAAAAAAAAAAAUCAGGCUUGUUCUACUACUUUAUUUUUGGUCCAAUACUUUAUAACUUCCAGCCUAAACCAAUCCCAAACCUAAUUAGUCCUUAAAAGAUUCCAAUUAUUUCAUCACUGCCCAUGAAAAAGAGAAGUCAAUGGCAUUAAUAAAUAAAAUAGUAAUAAUAAUUAAUAAAAAAACAAUGAUAUCCGGAGGAUUACAGUGACGGAGCUAGGCAAAAUUAUAAGGUAGAUUACAGAAAACUUGGUCAACAAGAAUGGUUAAAUUCUUGAGAAAAUAAAUCGCAGCCUGCAAGUGAAUUUCCAAGUGCUUCUGCUCAAAAGUUUCAGUAUUCUAUCCUGACGAAAUUCCAAGGCAUUUGCGUAUGAAUUUAGUUAGGAAAGUUGGAUGCAUGUUUAGCCAUCCCUACGACUUUAAUCCCCUUUCUGUUUUACUCAGUUGUUAGAUUUCUUGUAUGCAGCAGCAAUGUGGUUAAUAAGCACUAUUCUAAAAAUUCUGGCGGAGAUGCUAAGCAGUUGGAUACCGCUCCGAUUAAUCCUAAGCAUUCGAAAAUUAAGAAAGAGUGCCUGGUGCCUAGACUUGUCCAGACACCCUCUAACCUGUGACUCUCACUUAGACAAAAAAUAUAUCAUUUUCAUUUUGCUUUUUAUUUUUUUCGAUAAAUUUUAAAGACUUGUUGAAUACAUGAUUGUUCAUUAUGUUUUCAAUAUGUUCUAAUACUUUAUAAUCUAUAUGUCAUUUUAUUUUGCAAAUAUAUUUAUUUUUAUGUAGAGUAGACAUUUAUUUAUAUGUUACAUAAUAAAUUUAAUUAAAAUAAAAAAACUGCCUAGAUGCCUAUGCAUUAGGCCCUUGCUAAGGGCCCGACUAGCGCCUAUCACAUUUUAAAUUAUUAAUAAGUCCUUUAUUUCUCACAGUAAAAAUUACACUUGAUCAACACACAAAGCGAUCUUUAACAUUGGAGAGAAAUUGAAAAUACGCAUAUCUCCAUGACGUGCUGAAAGCUAGAGGGCCACAAACUCCCCAAAAUCCUACAAUGAAACCAAGAACCACUGAAAUAUGAAGCCAUGGAAUUUCGUACCCAUUGUCAUGUUCAUCUUCCAUGUUCUUAGUUGCAUUAUCACUUGUAUUCAUUUGUUGGCAUUUGUUUGGAAGCGGGGAACCGCAAAGUCCCGGGUUGCCCUCAUAGGCAGUGGCAUCAAAGCCUUGGAGCUGUGUGCCUAACGGUACUUGUCCUUGGAGGUUAUUGUGUGCAACGCUAAAUGAACUCAAGAAAUGAAGACUUGAUAGUGAAGCUGGGAUUCCACCCGACAGAUGGUUUCUUGAGAGGUCUAAUUUCUCCAAGUUUGUGAGCUUAGAUACCUGGUCCGGAAUGCUGCCAACGAUGUUGUUGGUGCUGAGAUCCAGCUGGUGAAGGUUUUGCAACCGGCCUAUCUCAAUGGGAAUGUUGCCACUUAGACUGUUAUUUCGGAAUCUAAUACAUGGCGGCAAGUUGGACAGGUAGUUGUACUGCAGAGAUGCGACAGAUUUAUUCUGGGGACUUGCGUAGAUAGGUAGUUCGACAUCACCACUAUCUGUCUGAGCGGAAGGCUUCCCGGAUACAAGAGCUUGUAGUGAGAAAAGCUCCUUUGGAAUUCCCCCCGAAAGUGAGUUGUAUGCCAAGUUUAUGAAGAAAAGACUAGGAAGACUUCCCAACCAAGGAGGUAUUGAGCCUGUGAGUCUAUUAGAAGACAAAUCAAGGACUUUGAGUUUCUUGAGCCUUGACAUCCACACCGGAAUACGACCUUCAAGUUGGCAGUUCGAUAAGGCAAAAAGGUGGAGAUUUUGAAACCCAGACCCAAUCAUUGCAUCACCAUCCGGCAGUUCUUCACCUAGAAAACUUUCUGAAAGCACGACCACCCUGAGACUUUCCAAACGCAUCAAUAUAUGUAUAGCGCCGGUGACAUUGGUGAGUCUGUUUUUACCAAGCGAGAGGAAGGAUAGGUAUUUCAACGAAACAAUCUCGGGUUGUAUUUGUCCCUCUAGAUCAUUACCGCCCAGACGAACUGCUUUCAGAUACUUGCAUGAGUAAAGGCUUUUUGGCAUGGCGCCGGAGAAGUGAUUACUCACGAGAUCAAGUUUGAUAAGUUGAUCAAGUUUGGAAAAAUUUAGCUCCGAGAUAUUUCCAUCCAAACGGUUGAAUCCAAGAUUGAGUUCGAUAAGGUUAGUGCAAUUCAUCAGAGAUGGGGGCAGAGGACCUUCAAGAUUGUUGAGAUGAAAGAGCAUGAGUUUUAAUUUGGAGAGCUUCCCGAUGUGGAGAGGAAGUGCGCCACUCAAAUGAUUGUAGUAGAUCUCUAGGAUUGUGAGGCUGGUGAGGUUGACAAUGUUGUCACUAAUGUGACCAAAAAGCUGAUUGGAAGGUAACGAAAUUUCAUGAAGAGCCUGAGCUUUGUAGAGAUCACUAGGAAGAGUUCCAGAGAGAGUAUUGAAGCCCGCACGAAAGGUUUCCAAUUUCGAACAGUUUCCUAGUCCGAGAGGAAUUGAACCAUUAAAAUCGUUGUUGGAGAAAUCCAAGACUCUAAUCGAAGAAGAACGAAGACAGAAAGAGGAAGGUAUUUGGCCUGUAAAAUGAUUUUUGCUGACAUUCAAACUGCUCAAAUUCGAGGCAUGCUGGAGGAAUGAAGAAGGAAUUGUAGCAUUGAAUUGAUUGUUCGACAAAUCCACUAUUUGAAUGUAACUAGAUGAUAGAAACAAAGGUAAUUUUCCGGAGAGAAGGUUAUAGCUCAAAUCAAGGAUUUCAAGGCGACUCGAGGACAAGAAGAGUCCAGCUUCCAGAGGACCGGAAAGCAAAUUGUGGGAGAUUGAGGUGCGAAAGAUGCGUGAGGCUUCCAAGAGAGCGAGAAAUGCUUCCUUGGAGCCGGUUAGAGGGCAACGAAACAUGUGUUACCCUACCAUCAGCAUCACAAGCGAUGCCUUCCCAGUGACAACAAUCACUGGAAGACCAAUUUAAGCGAGAAGAAGAUAUAUCAAAAGAUGACAAAAGAGAGUUGUGAUCUGCCUCCUUGCAAGCAUGGUUUGUAGAAAUGAAAGUAAACAACAAAAAAAAAGAGGAAGAGGACUCCGUAAGGUAUUACACGACUAGCUCUUGGCAUGAUCUUUUUCGCCAUGUCUGCACUGGAAUUAACAAAGGGAAGAAGGUAAUUAGGUGAUGGUUUGAAUUCUUGUGAGCGAUGUUUGAGUUUUGAAGUCUUUGCUUUCCACUUAUAUAGAAAAGAAACAAACCUGCAGAACACGGGACGUCACUAAUGGAGGGUCUAAUCACGGGUUGGCAACUUGGCAGCAACGUAUUUGAAGGUUUACAUUGACUUUGGCGUCGUGCUUUUUGGAAGAGCCAAAACAAAUUUUAGUUUUGAAAAUGAUUGUUUGGAAUUAUUUUUGAAAGAUCAGUUUUUUGAGAUUUGACACGAUAAAUGAUUAAUUGUUUUAGUAACGACAAUACCUUAAUUAUAUACUGAUGACUAAAAAAGAGAGUUAUGAACUAAUAGAUGAAUAAUUAUAUAGUUAAUGUAGAAAGGGUUUUUCCUUAAUAAUCGAAUGUACAUGAGUACGAGAGUAUGUAUGUGUGUGUGUGUGUAGACGCAUAGAAGGCCUUUAUGGGAAUGAAUUUUCAUUUUUUGAUAAUAGAAAUUAGUUGUGGGACCCACAACACAUCGAACUUUAACGCUUCGAACCGUUUAUUUUUCAAGUUGGACCUUAUAGAUCAUCUUUGCAAAAUAUUAGCUUAAUCGGAAAUAUUUGAGACAUCUAAUUGAGUUCAAAAAAAUUGACGAACAUUUUGUUAUAUAAGAAACAAUGAAAUUUCUUCAUGAUAAUUGAAUAGGCAAAUAAUUUAGGAUUAAAUUGAAUUCUUGCAAGGAUGAUCUACGAAUCAAGACUACAAAAUAAACGAUUCAAAUCGUUAAAGUUCGACGGAAAGUGGACCCUACAACUAGUCCUAUUUUCACCCAAAAAUAGGCAUCGCUUUGGAUAAAGGACCUAUAUAUAUAUAUAUGUAUAUGUAUAUGUACUAUGUAUGUAUGUAAUGUGGUUUUGUCUGCUAUUUCCCAAUAUCUUCAAUCGUGUAAAGAUCUUUUAUGUAUUAGUCUAUGGAUUUGAAGUGGUUUGGUUUGACUUUAGGCUUCAGGAGUAAACAGCAAACAAAAGACUUCAAAGAGUCACUUACACUGACUUCAAAGUGGCCAAAUGCGUUCCGAUUAAAAUUUUUUUCUUUCCUUUUUGGAUAGAAGCAAUAGUGAAGAAGAGGAUAAUCAAAUCUCGGACUCAAGUGCAAUGGUAAAUGUUCUUAAUCAUUUGAGCUUAUAAGUAAAAAAUGAGUAGGUAUUUUAAGUAGAAAAGUUUGUUCGGAUGGAGCUUUCAUCCCGGAGUCCAAAUAUCAUCUCCAUCUAAGUAAUCCAAUUAUGAAUAAUUUAGAAAUUUAAUUACUAAUUUUAGGUGAACCUUGACUCAUCUAUUUUCUGAUUCCUCAAAAGCUUGGUAAAAGCUUUGAGAAAAGUGCCUUCCCAUUCCGGUCCGGUUUCGUAAUCACGCCAUAUAUAACUGAAAUGGAACGUCACUAAUGGAGGGUCUAAUUGGAUUUGGAUCCUCUCCUGAGCUAAUGGAGAGGAUGCUCCUGACCAAGUGUUAUGGGCCGUUGGAUUUUCAUCAAACGGCUAUAAUUAUUAUAACUUUAAAAUGAUCUCCUUUUUUGUAGCCGUUGGAUAAAAAUCCAAAGGUCUACAAUACUUGGUUAGGAGGAUCCUCUCCAUUAGCUCAGGAGAGAAUCCAAAUCCGGUCUAAUCAUGCGUUGGCAACGUAUUAGAAGGUUUACAUUGACUUUGGACUCGUGCUUUUGGAAGAGUUUAAAGCACUUUAAAAUGGUUGUUUGAUAAAAGUGCCUUGAAGAGAAAGUAGAAACAGUUUUAAUCACUUGGACAAUUUUUUAGAUGCAAUCAAGUUAAGGAAAUUUUAUUGAUUGUUAUGAACUAACAUAUAAAUAAUUAUAUUGUUAAGAAUAAGUAGAAGUGAGAUGAUCAUUAAUUAGUUUAUUUAUCAGUGAAUUCUUCAUCAUUUAACAGUGUGUAAGGUUAUGUUCUUGAUUUUUUCUCUUUAAAUAUCGCUUGUAUAAAAAUGAAUAAUACAAUUAAGCGCAAUAAUUACUUAAUAUAUAGUAGGAUAAAUUUACCAUGCGUGACCUAUUUCACUACUAUAUUUUUUUUUACUGUGUCUUGACUUCGAAAUUGCAAAGUAUAAACAUCAUCACAAAGAAUGCUUGAAAUUUUGGACAUUGACUUGCCGACUUAUCGAAGUUGAUUUUGUUCUUCUCAGCAGAUUGGACUCGACGGUUUACUUAAGUCAUGAUCAAAGGAAAUUAAUUGAGCAUUUCGUUUUGUUUUUUUUUUCUUGGGUAAGAUGCUUUAUUCAAAUCGAUACGAAUCACAGUACAUCGAUUUUUAACGAUUCAACCUGUCUUUUCAGUCUUCAUUUAAACUUUCUGAAAAGAGAUUGCACAUGAACUGUUUGAUGAAAUUCCUGAACCGUUUUCUUUUGCGUGUUUUUUUCAUGUUUCCAACAAUGGCCAAUAUGCAGGAUUAGGUGCCACUGUAACUCAUUUCCUGAACCGCCCUCCUCUUGCGAAAGCUGCAGCUCUCUGAUUUUCGGCUUCUGCUCGUGUUGGGAUUCGUUCAACAACUUCCGACUUUCAACCCAAACAGCUGCAGCAUUUGUAGGAGCUGAAGCUGGCCACUGUUGGAAAUUUUCCCACUAAUGCUGUUGUCCUUCACGUCGAUCACGUGAGGAAAGUAAGACAACUUGUACUGCAGAACGUUGCGUUGGUCGAGAUGUAGAUAGGCAGUUCGAGAACAUCACCGUCUACUUGAGGAGCAGUUUCUUCGGAUAACAACAUGGGAAGUACAGAGUUCCUUUGGAAAUUCACCCGAAAUUCGAUUGCCUCCUGAUGCUAAAACAAGGAGCCUCGGAAGAGCCCCCAACCAACUAGGAAUCGACUGGGUGAUCCUGUUAAAACUCAACAUCAAGACCCCUAGCUUCCUGAGCUUCGAUAAUCAUUGAGGUAUUUCACCGUUGAGCUCACAGCUACUCAAAUCCAGCAUUUGAAGAUUUUGGAACGCAUUGAAAUUAGCCAUUGCUUCAUCACUUGGAAUUUUCUCUCCCAGAUAAAAACUUGUCGAAAGGAGGAGUACCUUGAGACUUUUGCAGCACCAUUAGUAUCUUCAUUGCCCCUGUGAUAUUUGUCAAUCGGCUGGAGCUGAGAGAGAGGAAGGACAAGGAUUCGAGUGAAAGAAUCUCGGGCUGUAUCUGUCCCUCUAGAUUGUUUUUGCUCACUUGAAUUGCUUUUAGGGACUUGCAUGAGCAGAGACUAGUUGGCAAGAAACCGGUGAAGUAGAGUUAUGACCAAGAUCAAGUAUUGGUUUGCUCAGUAAGAUUGGAGAAGUUAAGUGUGGAGAUGCUUCCUUUGAAAAGGUUGAUACCGCGAUUCAGUUUGAUAAGGUUUGUGCAGUUCAUCAAAGAUGGGGGCAGAGAGCCUUUUAGACUGUUGAAUUGAAGGAACAGGAGUUGUAAUUUGGACAGCUUAGCAAUGUUAAUUUACAGGGAGAAAACCGCUCUAUCAAUUGGACUGGAGGUCAAGGAUUGCAUCUACACAGAGGAUUGCAUCCACAUGUUCUUCCGCGACCUCCUCCUCCUAUUCAACAACGCCAUCGUCUUCCGCAAUAACUCUCCGGAGCACAACGCAGCUCGAGAGCUCCGCUCCAUUGUGCUAAAGGAAAUGAACGACCAGCUCCCGAACCCACAACCCGCGACCAGAACAGUAACAUCUAACGUGCCCAAGAUCAAAACCAAAGCUCCCAAGAUCGAGCCCGAUGUCUCCGAGAAACCCACCAAGUCUUCCAUUGUUGUUUGUGGAAAGCGUGGUUCUGUCAAUGCACUAUCAGAAGGCGGUGAGAAAGCAAAGGUGGCGAAUGAGAAGAAGACGGAUGGUGCUGCAUCUGUGAAGGUUGAGGACAAGGGGAUUAGGAGGAGGAGGACACAAGAAAGAGGCGGGCGGAGAGGGACAAGCACGAGGGGCAGGAGUGCAGCGAAGCCGACGAAGCCGCACGAGUAUGGCGUCAAUGAACUCCGUUCGCAUGACGGUUUAGACGCGUUGGAAGCGGAGAAGGAGAAGAAAGAAAACAGGAGGAAGAAGCAAGGCGCAGCGAGGUUCUUGAAGCGAAUGAAGCAGAACUCACCGAGCACUGAAGUGAAGAAGGAGACAUCGGAUGGUUCUGAGGAUGAUAGCGAUGAGAGCGGGGACGAGAAGAAGAAGAAGAAGAAGAAGCCGACGACAAGGGGUAGGAAGAAGCCGGAGGUUGAGAGGAAUGAGAGGGUGACGCGGAGUUCAACAGGAAGCGGGGGAGGGAGGGGAGGGGGAAGAAGGUGUCAGGAGAGGAGAACAAUGGGAGGAAAAGGAGAGGGGUCGGGAGGCCACCGAAGAGGCCGGAGACUGUGGCGGCAGAAGCGGGGAGUAGGAAGAGAGGGAGAGAGAAUGGGGAGGCUGAUCAGGUGGGGAGUGCAGGGAGGCGGAGAAAGCGUACAAGGAGGUGAAUGCGGCCAUUGUUGUAGCUGUAAAUUAUUUUUGGCAUGGUUUGGGUUAAUUUCUGGUCUUGUUUUGUUGCUAAUGAAAGGUUUUUACAGUCCUUUUUUAACCUUUUUACCCAAGAGCGGUCAAAAGAAUUACUAGAGAGGGAUAGGGAGAGACAGAGAUAGAUGUGCUGUGAACUUGUAGAAUGUUUUGGGGUAUCUGAUUUUGCAUAUACAGAUCCUGAUGAGUAGCAUCAUUAGUGAGGACCUUUUUUGUUCUAGUUUCAAUAUUGUUCUUGUUUGUUUAGAGUGGGCUUUUUUGUUGCAAUAGGAAAUAAGCUGGGUCCAAAACACCUAAAAACUAGACCUGGCAUUUUCAACCCGACCAAUUAAAAUUAGUAUUCGGAUGGGUGAUAAACAGGUCAGGUGGUUAACGGGUCAACCCGUUAAUCACCCAUUACAUAACGGGUCAUUUUGGGUGAACCCGCAAAACUCGUUAACCACCCAUUAACACCCGUUAUUGAGGACUUUUGUGUAAUUGCAAUAAGAAAUAAGCGGGGUCCAAAACACCUGAAAGCAAAGGAAGAAAUUAAGAUAAUACAAAAUAAAUAUAUUGAGAAAGAUAAUACAAAUGCAAAUGCAAAUGAUGCUGCAAUAUGACGGAAAAUAAUAAUACUCAUGCACUCUCGUGCAAGUUCGAUCUUCUUCUCUCUUAACAUAUAACAAUUUAAUCCAGUAAUGCUAUUAUUUAAAAGAAAAAAGACAUAGAAAGAUAAUACAAAUCAUAUAACAUUAACAAUUUCCUUGCCAAAUGGUCGGAUAUUGAUAUUGAACGCAACUGAUAUUGAUAUAUGCAUUGAUAUUCCCACAAAUUUACAUAUCGAUAUUUCUCCCGAUACCCAAAUUUGAAACACUACUUCUACUACUUUUACUUUUGUAUAAAUUUGUCUAAUAUGUUAUAUUAUCAAGAAUAAGAGUUGUUCAUACAUGUCUUCGGAUGAUGGUUGAUAGUUUGGCAAGAAAAUCGCUACAUGAAAAAGAUGUUAAAAAUUCAAGUUUGUUGCCGCUUAGUGUUACGGUCAAGUGAUAUUCCUCUUCAUUUGUAAGCGAGAAGUCUACUAACCCAUUAUGAGGCUGAGCCCACCUCUAUUUUUAGUGUAGAUAAUAUCGUUUGUUCACAAAAAAAUAAAAAAUAAAAAAAUUCAGGCUUUCUCUACAACUUUAUUUUUGGUCCAAUACUUAAAAACUUUCAGCCUAAACCAAGCCCAAACCUAAUUGGGCCUUAAAAGAUUCCAAUUAUUUCAUCACUGCCCAUGAAAAGGAGAAGUCAAUGGCAUUAAUAAAUAAAAGGGAACUUUAACGAAAAGCACCCGGUACUGUUCACUUUAACGAAAAACCACAUUUUUACACUAAAAAAUCAAUCCUGGUACUAUUCACUUUACCCUUUAUUUUGUCCUUAUCAUUAAAACUCAAAGUUUUCAAGCCAUUUUCAUUAGUUUUCCUUAAAUAAAAUAGUAAUAAUAAUAAAUAAAUAAAUAAUGAUAUCCGGAGGAUUACAAUGACGGAGCUAGGCAAAAUUAUAAGGUAGAUUACAGGAAACUCGGUCAACAAGAAUGGAAAAGGAACGAGACCGUCCAUCGUACAUAAUGCUGUCAGUUUUCGUUAAGUACUAUUUAUAUUUAAUUUUAAAAUUUAAAAUGAUUUCUGAUCGGUACGAUGUACGAUGGAUGGUCCGGAUCACGGGAUUCCUAUGAUCCCUAGGAAAAGAAUCCGGCGAGCAUCAUUUUCCAACAAGAAUGGUUAAAUUCUUGAGAAAAUAAAUCGCAACCUGCAAGUGAAUUUACAAGUGCUUCUGCUCAAAAGUUUCAGUAUUCUAUCCUGACGAAAUUCCAAGGCAUUUGCGUAUGAAUUUAGUUAGGAAAGUUGGAUGCAUGUUUAGCCAUCCCUACGACUUUAAUUCCCCUUCUGUUUUACUCAGUUGUUAGAUUUCUUGUAUGCAGCAGCAAUGUGGUUAAUAAGCACUAUUCCAAAAAUUCUCGUGUAGGUGCUAAGCAGCUGGACACUGUCCUGAUUAAUCCUAAGCAUUCGAAAAUUAAGAAAGGGUGCAUGGUGCCUAGACUUGUCCAGACACCCUCUAACCCGCGACCCUCAUUUAGAAAUAAAAUAAAUCACUUUCAUUUUUCUUUUUAUUUUUUUCUAUAAAUUUUAAAAGACUUGUUGAGACACUCGUUACAUGAUUGUUCAACAUGUUUUCAAUAUGUUCUAAUACAUUAUAAUCUAUAUGUCAUUUUAUUUUGCAAUUUAUGUAUCUCAAUACGAGUAUAUUUAUUUUUACGUAGAGUAGACAUUUAUUUAUAUGUUACAUAAUAAAUUUAAUUAAAAUAAAAAAAAACUGCCUAGACACAUAUGUGUUAGGCCCUUGCUGAGCGCCUAUCACCUUUUAAAUUAUUAAUAAGUCCUUUAUUUCUCACGAAAAAAAUUACACUUGAUCAGCACACGAAGCGAUCUUUAACAUUGGAGAGAAAUUGAAAAUACGCAUAUCGCCAUGACGUGCUGAAAACUAGAGGGCCACAAACUCCCCAAAAUCCGACAAUGAAACCAAGAGCCACUGAAAUAUGAAGCCAUGGAAUUUCGCUCCCAUUGUCAUGUUUAUCUUCCAUGUUCUUAGUUGCAUUAUCACUUGUAUUCAUUUGUUGGCAUUUGUUUGGAAGUGGGGAACCGCAAAGUCCCGAGUUGCCCUCAUAGGCAGUGGCAUCAAAGCCUUGGAGUUGUGUGCCUGACGGUACUCGUCCUUGGAGGUUAUUGUAUGCAACACUAAGUGAAGCCAAGAAAUGAAGGCUUGAUAGUGAAGCUGGGAUUCCGCCCGAUAGAUGGUUUCUUGAGAGGUCUAAUCUCUCCAAGUUUGUGAGCUUAGAUACCUGGUCCGGAAUGCUGCCAACGAUGUUGUUGAUGCUGAGAUCCAGCUCGUAAAGGUUUUGCAACCGCCCUAUCUCAAUGGGAAUGUUGCCACUUAGACUGUUAUUUCGGAAGCCAAUAGUUGGCGGCAGGUUGGACAGAUAGUUGUACUGCAGAGAUGAGACAGAUCCAUUCUGGGGACGCGCAUAGAUAGGUAGUUCGACAUCACCACUAUCCGUUUGAGCGGAAGGCUUCUCAAAUACAAGAGCUUGAAGUGAGAAAAGCUCCUUUGGAAGUCCCCCCGAAAGCAAGUUGUUGUCCAAGCUUAUGACGAAAAGACUAGGAAGACUUCCCAACCAAGGAGGUAUUGAGCCUGUGAGUCUGUUAGAAGACAAACAAAGGACUCUGAGUUUCUUGAGCUUUGACAUCCACACCGGAAUAUGACCCUUAAGUUGGCAGUCCGAUAAGCUAAAAAGGCGGAGAUUUUGAAACCCAGAACCAAUCAUUGCAUCACCAUCCGGCAGUUCUUCACCUAGAAAACUAUGUGAAAGUAAGACCAUCCUGAGACUUUCCAAACGCAUCAAUAUAUGUAUAGCGCCGGUGACAUUGGUGAGUCUGUUUUUACCAAGCGAGAGGAAUGAUAGGUAUUUCAACGAAACAAUCUCGGGUUGUAUUUGUCCCUCUAGAUCAUUACCGCUCAGGCGAAUUGCUUUCAGAUGCUUGCAUGAGUAAAGGCUUUUUGGCAUGGCGCCAGCGAAGUGAUUACUCACGAGAUCAAGUUUGAUAAGUUGAUCAAGUUGGGAAAAAUUUAGCUCCGAGAUAUUUCCAUCAAAAUGGUUGAAUCCAAGAUUGAGUUCGAUAAGGUUAGUGCAAUUCAUCAAAGAUGGGGGCAGAUGACCUUCAAGAUUGUUGAGAUGAAGGAGCAUGAGUUUUAAUUUGGAGAGCUUCCCGAUGUGGAGAGGAAGUGUGCCACUCAAAUGAUUGUAGUAGAUCUCUAGGAUUGUGAGGCUGGUGAGGUUGACAAUGUUGUCACUAAUGUGACCAAAAAGCAGAUUGGAAGGUAACGAAAUUUCAUGAAGAGCCUGAGCUUUGUAGAGAUCACUAGGAAGAGUUCCAGAGAGAGUAUUGAAGCCCGCACGAAAGGUUUCCAAUUUCAAACAAUUUCCUAGUCCGAGAGGAAUUGAACCAUUGAAAUCGUUGUUGGAGAAAUCCAAGACUCUAAUCGAAGAGGAACGAAUACAGAGAGAGGAAGGUAUUUGGCCUGUCAAAUGAUUUUUGCUGACAUUCAAACUGCUUAAAUUCCAGGCAUGCUGGAGGAAUGAAGAAGGAAUUGUAGCAUUGAAUUGAUUGUUCGACAAAUCCACUAUUUGAAUGUAACUAGAUGAUAGAAACAAAGGUAAUUUUCCGGACAGAAUGUUAUAGCUCAAAUCAAGGAUUUCAAGGCGACUCGAGGACAAGAAGAGUCCAGCUUCCAGAGGACCGGAAAGCAAAUUGUGGGAGAGAUUGAGGUGCGAAAGAUGCGUGAGGCUUCCAAGAGAGCGAGAAAUGCUUCCUUGGAGCCGGUUAGAGGGCAACGAAACAUGUGUUACCCUACCACCGGCAUCACAAGCGAUGCCUUCCCAGUGACAACAAUCACUGGAAGACCAAUUUAAGCGAUAAGAAGAUAUAUCAAAAGAUGACAAAAAGAGAGUUGUGAUCUGCCUCCUUGCAAGCAUGGUUUGUACAAAUGAAAGUAGACAACAAAAAAAACAGGAAGAGGACUCCAUAAGGUAUUACGUGACUAGCUUCCGGCAUGAUCUUUUUCGCUAUGUCUGCACUGGAAUUAUAUUGCUCACAUCGUUUCGGGGGUAUAUAUACACUCCUUUGUUUGGAGCAAAGGAGGUAGAAAUUAACAAAGGGAAGAAGGUAAUUAGGUGAUGGUUUGAAUUCUUGUGAGCGAUGUUUGAUUUUGAAGUCCUUGCUUUCCACUUAUAUAGAAAAGAAACAAACCUGCAGAACACGGGACGUCACUAAUGGAGGGUCUAAUCACGGGUUGGCAACUUGGCAGCAACGUAUUAGAAGGUUUACAUUGACUUUGGCGUCGUGCUUUUUGGAAGAGCGAAAACAUAUUUUAGUUUUGAAUCGUGUACAUAUCUUUUAUGUAAUGUGGUUUUGUCUGCUAUUUCCCAAUAUCUUCAAUCGUGUAAAGAUCUUUUAUGUAUAUAUGUAUUUGAAGUGGUUUGGUUUGACUUUAGGCUUUAGGAGUAAACAGCAAACAAAAGACUUCAAAGAGUCACUUACACUGACUUCAAAGUGGCCAAAUGCGUUCAGAUUACAAUUUUGUUUUCCUUUUUGGAUAGAAGCAAUUGUGAAGAAGAGGAUAAUCGAAUCUUGAACUCAAAUGCAACGAUAAAUGUUCAUAUUUCAAGUAGAAAAAUUUAUUCGGAUGGAGCUUUCACAUCAGAGUCCAAAUAUCAUAUCAUCUAAGUAAUUCAAUUAAGAAUAAUUUAGACAUUUAAUUACUAAUUUUAGGUGAACCUUGACUCACCUAUUUUCUGAUUCCUCAAAAGCUUAAGCUUUUGAGAAAAGUGCAAUUCCAUUUCUUCCCAUUCCGGUACGGUUUCGCAACCACGCCAUAUAUGUAAUCAUGGGUUGCAACGUAUUAGAAGGUUUACCUUGACUUUGGGCUCGUGCUUUUGGAAGAGUACUUUAAAAUGGUUGUUUGAUAAAAGUGCUUUGAAUAGAAAGUAGAAACAGUUUUAAUCACUUGGACAAUUUUUUAGAUGCAAUCAAUUUUUUUGAUGAACUAACAGAUAGUGAGUGGCCGCCUCUCCUACAUAAUGAUUAUGGUAAAAAAAACCGAGUUAAUAGUGAGUCAUUCAUAUUAUUUUGGAUAGGUAUCUACAUUGAAUUAAAAUUAUUAAAAAAUUAAACUCUAAAAAUAGAAAACUUUUCAUCAAAGACAAAAUCCUUCCGCAUAAAACUCUAAAAAAUAGAAAACUUUUCAUGUUGGAUAUCUUUAUAUCAUUAUUCAAUUUUCAUAAAAAUUCUAAAAAUGCCUUUCCAGUUUUAGAUUUUUCAACAACUCCUUACUCCAACUUCUUAACCCAUUGAUUGAUUUCAAAUUAUUGAACCGUCCCCUAGAUUUUUUUAUUGAUUCUUUUUAAAAUGGAACAAUUUGAGUAUGAGUAAAAGGUCUUCCUUUUUAUUUUAAUGAAUCCGUUUUUAUGUUAUUUCGUAUUGUACAAUUCCUUUGUUUGUGGGAUCAUUUUCUCACAAAAUGAAAUUCAAAAUAAAUUAUAGAAUGGAUUAAUACACCUAUGUCUAGAUCUGGGAUAAAUGGAAAUUUUAUUGAUAAAAACCUUUUCAAUUGUAGCCAAGGACCAAAAUAUCGAAAAUAUCGGCGAUAUUUCGCCGAUAUUAUCGUUUUUUUUAGAUGACGAUAUUUCGUGACUUAUCCUCUUAAUUAUCGUUAAUAUAUAUCGCGAUAAUAUCGAUAAUAUCGCGAUUAUAUCUAAUAUCGCGAUAUGAAAUCCAAAAAUACUUGAAAAUUUCUGAAAAGUCUCAAUUUUGAGCAUAGAGGGAUUCGAACCCGGAUUCCUUCAACGCCUUAACCACCAUAUCACUUAUGCUUUUGUGAUAAUAUGCUAAAAUAUUUAUAUAUAUGGUUUUGUUUUGAAUUCUUUUUACAAGAAACAAAUUUGCACAUAUUCCAAAUUUUUUGUGGUAUUAUAUUUUAAAUUGUGUCAAUUAAUUACUUAGUUAAUGGCAUGUGGUUUUUAAUUUUUCUAUUUUAUAUUUGGUCACUUAGAUGGUAGGGCUGGAAAAAAUUCCUGAAAAUCCCAAACCAAACAAAAAAAGUCCCAAACCCAAACCGAAAAAUCCCAAACCAAAACCAUCCCGAAAAAUACCGAAAUUUUCGAUAUGGGAUUGGUUUCCAAAUCCCAUUUGUUUGGUAAUCCUGAAAUCCUGAAAAAUACCGAAGUAUUUAGUUUCCUAUUGACUUUUGGGUUUUGGUUCUUGAAAGCCAUUACCAUGGUUGCUGACUACUAUUCGCAAUACAAUUACUCUACACAUAGAGAUGAUGAAGAUAGUGAAAAUUUUGAACCUUAUAGGAACUUUAUGUGGUACUAAGUCAUUCAUGUAUCUUACCAUGCAAUGUAUAAAGUGUAAAAUAUUUCUAAUUCAUUAUAUAUAAAUGAUUAUGGUGUGUUUAAACUUCUUUCAUUAAUUACUACAUAUUUUCUACACUCACAAUGUUUACCAGCUCGCUAUAUAAUCAACUUAAAUUAGUUAAAUCCAUCAUGCAAUGCAUUUCCUUCCAAUUUUUUGUGAUAAACUAAUAGAUAAUUGACUAAAUAAACAUCCUGCAAAGUUUCAAUAAAAAUUUCCACGUUUUUCUUACAAUUUCCGUGGUUUUUAUUCAAUUUUUAUCGAUAUCGAUAAUAUCCCGAUAUUUCCAUCGAAAUUUCCGUGUUGUUGGACUACCGAUAUUUCCGAUAUCAUCGAUAUUUUAUACCUUGAUUGUAGCCAAUAUCUUAUUACGAAUAAUUCCAACAACUUCAAGAGAAAAGGAGGCAUUCACCUAUUACAGAGAUGGUACAAUUUGAUUUUUUUAAAUUUUUUUUCUUUUCUAUUUUUUUUAUUGCUCUCAGUCUUAAGAGAAAGACAACAUUAUUCGGGAUAGGAAAAAAAUUAUUGAAAUAAAUCUACGCUUGUUGAAGGUGAAGUUUGUAAAUAAAGCAAAACCUUUUGUCAUGUAUCCCCGAUUAAUGCAGCGUCAGAUGCUUCAAUUGUCGAUUCUAGAGUAUUGAGCAGGACGUUACACCUAUGGGUUAGGUCUCCACCAAUAGAGGGCAUAGGGGAAGAAGUACUACUCCCAGAAAUCAACACACGAAAACUUUGUUAUAAAUUAUCCCUUUUCCUUAUCAGGAUCAGGACUAACAAGAAUGGUUUGGACAACAAACAUCCGUCUUGUUCGUUUUUUGCAUACUUGUAUAACCAUCGAAGACUGAUGAAGUGACUAAUUCCUGCAAAUUAAAAGGCGUUGAAUUCAAAGAAAUUUUUGGGGUAACUUUUUAUCUAAUACCAACAUGCUUGAUGUUAAGUGAAGAUCUUUUACAAGAAGGUUGGCUAGAGAUUUCUUGUAAAAACACCAGCCCUGCUUAGUUUAUAAUGAGAAUAUUUCAAUCUUUUUUUAUUCCAUGUAUUAUUAUCAUUAUGCACAUAAAGGAGGAGCCGUAUGUGAUUAAAAAUCUCAUGUACGGUUUUGAAACGGAGAUUUUUUGAAUCGAAUGACAACCGUAACUGUGAAAUCCCGUUCUUGGAUUUCACUGUUAUAAUCUACGUAUUUGUAUUAUUGAGAUUUUAUAUUAUUUUUUGGGAAUUUAUAUUAGUUUAUUUGAAUUUAGGUUUUAAUUAAACUAGUUAUGAGGGUUGAAGUUUCAAAAUUAAUUAUUUAAAUUCCGUAGACCUUUUGAGGUCAUAAUUUAUAUUUUCGAAUAGAGCUCGAUCUCAUAAACGCGUAGGCGAAAACCGUUCGUGAAAUGGAGUUAAAAUGAAGAAAUUAGAGACGUUUUAGUUGUUGGGAAAUAAAUAAAUAAAUGUUUAGAAGUUGCCAAGUGGCAGCAAGGGAAAUGGGAGAAAGGAGAGAGCAAGGAGGGGAAAGGAGGGAGACUCGAGUUGGGUCAUUUUUGACCCGCGAACUAUCAUUUUUGACCUUGCCAUAUCUCCUUUAUCCGACUUCCAUUUUUGGUGAUCUUGGUGUCCAUGGAAAGCUCUUGACGAGUCCCAUCCCUGUAGUGUUAGAUUUCCAUUUUUCUAGGUCGAAGCCAUAAAGUGCCGAGGGUUUUCCGGCGACUUUUCUCAUGUUACGGUGAUUCCGACAACGAUUACAGUCGAUCACCACCACCAAUAGACUCCCCUCAACCCCUGGAGCAAGGCCCAAGCAUUGGAUGAGGCGUCAGAGUUCGUUUUGGUGACGAAUCGAGGAACACCCAUUUCUAGGUUUUCCGGUGGGUUCGAGAGCAAUUGGAGCUUUUCCCGGCCAAAUUGGGCUUGGCCUUAGGUAUGAAACUUUCUCCACUCAUUGAGAUCUAUUUUCCUGUAAAAUUUGGUAAUUUUUUGAAAUAGUUGAAUUUUCCGGCGAGUCGGGGCAG